UGGGGAAUUUUGGACAAUGGGGGAAACCCUGAUCCAGCCAUCCCGCGUGUGCGAUGAAGGCCUUCGGGUUGUAAAGCACUUUUGGCAGGAAAGAAACGUCGCGGGUUAAUACCCCGCGAAACUGACGGUACCUGCAGAAUAAGCACCGGCUAACUACGUGCCAGCAGCCGCGGUAAUACGUAGGGUGCAAGCGUUAAUCGGAAUUACUGGGCGUAAAGCGUGCGCAGGCGGUUCGGAAAGAAAGAUGUGAAAUCCCAGAGCUUAACUUUGGAACUGCAUUUUUAACUACCGGGCUAGAGUGUGUCAGAGGGAGGUGGAAUUCCGCGUGUAGCAGUGAAAUGCGUAGAUAUGCGGAGGAACACCGAUGGCGAAGGCAGCCUCCUGGGAUAACACUGACGCUCAUGCACGAAAGCGUGGGGAGCAAACAGGAUUAGAUACCCUGGUAGUCCACGCCCUAAAACGAUGUCAACUAGCUGUUGGGGCCUUCGGGCCUUGGUAGCGCAGCUAACGCGUGAAGUUGACCGCCUGGGGAGUACGGUCGCAAGAUUAAAAACUCAAAGGAAUUGACGGGGUCAUAGCUGUUUCCU
rnacentral:rRNA from 1 species